GCUCUCACUCCAGAUUUUCAUUGAAUCAUCAAACUCAGUUGCUGAAUCAGAAGUUGUUUAGUCAUCUGGUAAGAAUACCUUCAGUUUGCCCAAUAGGACCCAGAGCUACUGAAAGGAUAAACUCAGUUGCCUUCAACACGUCUGGGAGAUAAAACUUCCUGCAACUUCUUCCAUCUUGUGAUUCAGCCUCUA